CCCGUGGCCCGAAGCCGAAGCCAUCGCAUCACUCGUGGGAAACGACGCUGUGUUCCUGAUCCUCUAUAAAGAGCUGUACUACAGACACAUCUACGCUAAAGUCAGCGGUGGACCCACCUUGGAUCAGAGGUUCGAGUCGUACUAUAACUACUGUAACCUGUUUAACUACAUCUCA